GAAACUUACGAGAUUGAAAGCAGUUCUGAAAUCCUGAUGUUACUUGACAAGUUUCAGCUUGCUAUCUCAGGCCUCCUUACUAUCUCAGGCCUCCUCCAUACUAUGCCAACAAAAUAAAUACACGGUGACACUGGUGAGUGGUCACUGUUAGGGAAAACAAAAGACCUAGCACACAAGAAUGCCCCUGAUUCUAGUAAAUGCUUCCUUCUCCCACUGACCAUUCGAACAGACAAGGCUCGGGCUCACAGAGAUCUCUGACUUGCAAGAACAAAACUGAAUCAGUAAUCCAGACUAUUGACAGCAUCUGUGCUGCUGUUAUCUUUGGGCACAAAAAUGUUUUUCAAUAUGAAUAGGUUCCCUGUAAUUUAAAUUCAGCUGCAUAUUAAGUGCAUAAGUGCGGACAGUUAUUAGUUGACAGUGGAGGCAAGAAAAGAAAUUACUUAAGUGCUCCAGGAAAUGAAAGCAUGCUUGUAUACUUAAGGCUAAGUGUUUGAUGAUAAGGAAGGGUUAGUUAGUCUUGGAGUCUCAGGGUCAGUAUUCAUUCAGCAAACAUUUACUGAAUACCUAAUCAUUGUUCUUUAUUACAUGAAUAUGUUUGGCCUAUCAGCAUGGACUUAAGGUAGCUGAAAUUUAUUAUAUUCCAAGUUGGUGCUAGGUAGUAGAAAGAAUAAGAUACAUUUCUUGCCUCCAUGAGUCACAUUUCUUGGGAAUGUAAAUUUCUAGGGACCUACUGAUGCUAAAGCUGAAACUCCAGUACUUUGGACACCUCAUGCAAGAGCUGACUCAUUGGAAAAGACCCUGAUGCUGGGAGGGAUUGGGGGCNNNNNNNNNNNNNNNNNNNNNNNNNNNNNNNNNNNNNNNNNNNNNNNNNNNNNNNAGUCUGAGUGAAAUCCAGGAGUUGGUGAUGGACAAGGAUGCCUGGCGUGCUGCAAUUCAUUGAGUCUCAAAGAGUCAGACGUGACUGAGCGACUGAACUGAACUCCAGUAUACUCUUGCCUGGAGAAUCCCAUGGACAGAGGAGUACGGAGGGCUACAGGCCAGGGGUCACAAAGAGUCAGACACGAAUGAGCGGCUAACACUUUGAAGCUCCUGCCUUCAUCUAUAAGAUCUGAAAAGAAAUUACUCUCAUUUCAAGUAAGAAAUAUUUUACAUUAAACAAUGUUCUCAGGAAUUCCCUGGCAGUCCAGUGGUUAUAACUCAGAGCCUUCAAUGUAGUGACCCAGGUUUCCCUUAGUCAGGGAAUUAAGAUUCUGCAAGCCAUGCAG
rnacentral:lncRNA from 1 species